rnacentral:lncRNA from 1 species
UUUUUAUGUAUUUUAUUUUUUAUGAAACCAAAAUGGCAAAGAUUGAGAAGCACUGUUUUAAAGUAUAUAAUGAAACCAACAUAUGUCCUUUUAGGUUUGCUGCAUUUCUUUUAUUUUCACACCUUUAGUUGGCUUUAGUAACUCAGUAUUUGUGACUAGUACUGAGCAAGUUGUACUUAUUACCAGUUUUGAAUCAGAAUAAAGGCUGUCUAAUGUUUGGUAUAUAGGGCUACCUCUUCUUUCUCAUGUCUUCUUUGCAACUAGUGGCCACAAAUAUACCACCUACUAGGUUCAGGUGGAAUACAGCUUAGAUUGAUGGAUUUGUUGCAAUUACUUCCAUUGAGCUAUGUCCCACCUACACUGCAGCUACUUGUGAUGGGAGUCUGACCUCUCAGUGUUACUGCUGCUGUGUUCAUUCUUUCCAUAGGCAUUUAUGUCUGAGUAGUGUGUGGUUUUCAUACAUAGUGUACGACUUAGCUCUGAUCUGGGAGACAAGUUAUUUCCAUGCCCUUUGAUAAUACUGUUAUAUCUUUGUAAGUAAGGAUAUUUCAUAUUUUACAGUUUCUCAUUUUUAUCAUAUUGCUCUUAAAUUUAUGACUGCUUUUUUAUGCUAUAAUUACCACUGUGUUUAUUCAUUUCUGAAGCUCACACAUCAGAAAUAGUCCUUGAUUAAUAAAUUGCAUAUUCAUUUGAACAUGUAAAUAUUCUGACCUAUUUCUGGGCCAUCAACACUUGCUUCCUGGUCUUGCUGCUGGCCAUGCUAUCACAGGUGAUAAUAUAGGUGACUGUGAAAAUGGAAAUGACUUGUGUGAACAAUGUAAGUGACUAGCACAUAUUUAGAAAAAUAGUUGUGGCUUCCUAUAGAAAAUUAAAAUACUGUACUUAAAGGGAUGAUACAUUUUUCAUAGGUUUGUAGAAAUGAACUUAUGCACAUAAAAUCUUUUGUGAAUAGUAAAACACCAUACAAAAGUAAUGUUUUAUAUUGCAAGGAGGGUACCUUAGAAUCCCUUAGUGUACUUUUGCUAAAAAUGCACCAUUUUGCUUUUUCUGUUUGCUUAUAAAGCAGGUUUUCCUUCUGUCAGUACCCAUUCGUUAUUUCUAUAGCUGCAAAAAAAAUCAUUAUUCAAAGAGACUCAGAACAACAGAUGAUAAGCAUCGCAAGGGUAAGCCAGCUACGAAACAUGUUUAUGCUGACUGUAAUCAAUAUAGUAAAUAAUAAAUAAGUUAAAUGUCUUGUGAAUUGUUUUAGUGUAAUCAGGAAGUGUUAAAAAUAUCAUUCAUGUUAUUACCCCCACAAGGUAACCCUGUUCACAGUAUGGAAGAUAGAACACUCCUCAUCUAGUUAGCCUCCCAGUAUAUUAUAAAUGCAACAGAAAUGUUUCUGAUAAACCCAAAUUUGAGGAGCUUGUUGGGACUUCAUUGUGUAACCAUGAUGAGAGCAGGAGUGUGUUAACACAGAUCAUUCACACUAGAGCACUUUCUGGAGUUCAUGAAAAUCAAAAAUAACCAAGACGUUAGGUGAUUGACACUAAUAUAUGUCUAUAGAACUAAGAAAUAUGCUCAAGGAAAGGGAAAGUUUUUAUAAUUGUUUCUCAGUACAUGGAAAAUGCACAGACAGUAGUAGACUAGGAAAAUGUAGCGCAAGGUGGAGUUUCUCCCUGGGCCUCUGCUCUGCCUACCAGUGUUGAGAACAGCAUAGCACAGGAGUGAGCGCUCACACGGUUCCUCUACACGCUUGCGCAUAUCCGGUGCCUACUGCUUAGGAGAGUAUUCCGGUGUUAAAGAUGAGAGAGCUGCUUAGCUUC